CAAGAAAGCUGCGCUUACCUAUCAUCUUAUAUUCGAAAUUAAGGUUCACAACCAAGAGAAAGCGGUCAGAAAAGCUUCGAUUCAGUGGAAGUGCGUUUGUCCCUCACCGAGGAUUCACAGUUGGACUGUUUUCCUAGAGUGAAGAGGACUGCCUCAAAAAUGUGAAGUCCAUCAUUGAGAUGAACUACAAAGGAGUGUGAAUGAUAAGGCUGAGAUGUUUCCUACAGUUUCUACCAAAGAACCUGGUAUCAGCUGGUUAGGGGUGGGAGGAGCCGGCAGAGGCGGCCAUCAGUAUCCCCCGUUUCUCGUGCAUUUCCAACGCAGACGUCUCUGAGCCUGCUCUACCUUCUGGACCUGAGUCACCUCUGCUGUAAACCGCUGCCGGACGCUGAAGAGCCUGACCCAGGUUUCUGACGCUCAAUCUUCACUGUAACUUGAGGUGUGUUCCAGUCACACCUGGCGGCGUCUUCUGCCUCUUGCCUGACAAAUCAGCACCUCUUCUGAAAUCUCAGGAAAACCAGCAGCGCCUACUGUGGAGUACCGACUCCCUGCCGCUUCUUUAAACGAUGGACCCCACUGGAACAGCCACUCUGCACCGCGCAGAGAGGGCGCAGGUCCGGGAGACGUCACACCCUCCCCCACCCCCGUUUUCUGUCCAGCCUGGCCCUGGAAGCUGCGUGACACCGCAUGUGCUGGGCGGGUCUGGCAAGGAAGCCUCUGUGUCUGACUUACCUCCUCACAUAGGGAGAGGGAGACUCAGAAAGCCAAACUACAGGGGCAGCGCACUCGGCCACAGUCGUCCUAAACAAGACACUUGACCGGCUUUGUGCCUUCUUGCUCAGGCAAUGUCGGCAAAAGCCGAGUUAUUUCUCGUAACGCAGCCUUGACUAGGGUUCAACUCGUGCUGCGGCCACUGUUUUACACGGGAGGCCUCUUCCACCGAGCCUGCCCCCCUCUCCCUCACUCAUGCACUUGUAUGUCUACCGUACACGACUGCUCUCCUGUUGUGCAAGACGGCAGUGUUAGUAAUUGGGGUUAGUUCUUAUUUAAUUUCAUUUCAUUCAAAAUGGAGGUGGAACUUACUGGCAUACCUAGGCUGCAGCCCCAUGCAAGCAAGCAAAAAGCAAAAUACCGAGAAUGGAAGAGGAAGAGGAACUGGCUAGCAGGCAGCUGCACUCACCCUUCUGCACAGCCUAUGGUCCACCAGGGGGCUUUAGACAGCAAAACAACACCAGAGAGCUAUUAGCAGAGGGCCACGGCAGGAUCGACAAACAGCUGCUUUUCAACCAAAGGGAAUACAAAAUGGCUUCUUUUUCGGGGAGAAAGAAAAGGCGAGUGAUAGUGGGGUAUGUGGAACGAGCAGGUGGAAAAUUCACCAACUGACUUUUAAGUCUUACAGCAGGGCCGGGGUCUCCACUUCUCACUGAUUCCUGAAGCCCCUGUCUACCUGCCCUUCUGAGAGGGGCCACACGAGGUUUUCUUUAAUAUGGACUUCUCUGCUUCUAAGGGACAACAGACAUUGACAGUUUCCCUUAGAACAGUAUCAGGCGGCCCAGGAUGACACCAGGGUGACGUAAGCCCCCAGGGAAAUCCAAGUCUGAUGGCAGCACACGCACAGCUUUUCAGCAUCUUCUCACAUUCCUCGGUGGAACACGAAGGAGUGAGUGGGAGAUGAACACCAGUCCUGCAGGCCACACACAGCGGUCACGGGAAACCCUGGGCUGUUUCCUAACAUCUAACGUCUGGUCAACACGAGGUCAAGGGCCAGCAACGAUCUUUACUUGUUUCCAAAUAAUGAACGGGGAUUCAGGGCCCAGCAUCUCGUGUUCUCCUCACACCGAGCCUUCUUGGCGGCCUUCCUCAGUGGUGAAAGCCGAAGGAAGCUACAAGUCUUCCGUGAAGUCUCUCCCAGCUGCUGGAGCCCACAGAGAGCAAGCAGGGGACCUUUGUAGGGGCCUUCGGGGAGUUUAUGUCCUGUUGAAGCAUUCCACUCUCUCAACCCACCCAGUGUACAAACAGGGCGUGGCUUUGGAAAAAAAAAAAAAAAAAGAGGAAGAGAAAAAAAAGUGUAGAACGUUAUGUGCUUUGCUCAAAAUCCAGAGGACUGCAUUACCUCCACCUAUAUUCAAUGUCUGAAGAUAAGACUCGAAGAAAUGAGGGUGAUCGCGGAGUCCAAGUUCACUUGUGAACAUUCUGGAAAGCGGGGGACUGUGCCACAGCAAUGCUCUUGAAAACGCAACCCGUCUGCAGAGCGUCCACGAGACUCUGCUCCCGGUGGUCAGUCUCCUGGCUUCGGUGCUGCAGGAGCCAGAGGGAUGGGGAAGGAGGCAGAGUGCACAAGGGAGACGUCGGGCUGAGGGCAGGCCAGGUCCGCGGGGCUCGCCAGACGGGAGACCCCAGCUGCUGGUGUUGGUCCCCAGCGCUCAGAUGCCAGGUGAGUGUCUGACAAAGCGGCAAGGCAGGAGACUGGCGAGUUUGGAGAUCAAGAUCAUUAUGUGACAGCCGAGUCCCACGCUUCAUAUGUGUUUCUGAACAGGACUUCCUACUUCUGAGUCUUGGUAGCAGUCUGCUGUCUCGUUUGGUAGUUGCCGUGUGCAAUGAGGAGCCCCCAGUCCUGCACCUCGGACACAGGAGGAGCCGCGGAGGCCCAGGGAAGGUGCACGUGCUCCCGUCAUAGCCUCCACACUGGACAACACCCAUCGGGCCUGGAAACCCUCUUCCUGUUUUCCCUGUUGCUAACAUAGGGGCAGCGCGUGUUUCCCUCCACAGCCAUCUAAGUGAAUUGUUUUGUUGAUUUAGAGAAAGGUACAAGGGACCAGUUAAACCCUAUGAAGUCUCAAAGGUCAAACGUUUCAAAGUUAGCAAUCCGAUGGUUUUAGGAGUUAGAAAAAUACAAAUGGCAGUGACACAAGACCUCUGAGGAUCAAAUUCCAGCAGGUGUUAAGACACAGAGGCACAGGGAACACACAGCCAAACCACUGGGGAGGCCCCCUGCGCACGGGAGACGUGGCCACUGUGACGGAGGUUGGGCUGGACUGAAACUUAGAGGAAGCAAAAUGAUGUUCUCCAGCCCCCGGGUGUGAGUGAAGACCCCAACUUCAGCAAGAAAGCGCCCGUGCGAGGGGAGGGACCUGUGGGGAGGGGCCGCGGAGCCCACCUCCCACUAAGUGCAAGGCCCCCAGGAUGUCAGCGACCUCUGACCCUGCACAGCUUUGCUGGGCCAUUUCCUGUCAGCCACCCCACAUCCAGCAGAGGGCGCCACCUGCUUAGUGGAAAUUCUGCAUCACAGAACCUGGGUGGCCUUGACAGUUCGCCUUCCUUUGCUGGGGCACAGAACACUCCGCGUGCUUUCGGUUUGGACAGACACUGGCACAGGAAGGGAUUACAAGAACACUGCAACGCGGCCUGCAAGUCACGGGGUAAGGGGCACUUGGAGCUGAGCAGCACGCGGCACGUCGUCCUCACAUCCGAGGCCUGAGCCCCCUGGCCCGACAGGCACCGCGGGGUCUGGGCCAGUUCCCAGAGCGCCGCCAGCGGCGACUUCCUGGCUGCUUCAGGGGCUCCACUGCCCCGCCGUAGUCCGGGGUGCGCCCCUGCCUGCCUGCCUGCCUGCCAGGGAUUAGCUUUCCACGGGAGCCGGUGGGCGGUGAAGGCGGGCAGGGCCGCCGCCUCGCUCUCGGCGACGGACACGCACAGACCGAGAUUCACCUACCUGUGGCGACAACGGCGUAGAAACCUCAUUAUUUUUCGAGCAGCUUGGUCCUGCUUUUUGGUUAGCAAACUGCUCCUGAAAAAGUCAGAAAGCUGUUGUCACAGGAGGGCGCUGGGAAGCCUGACGUGCGAAAGCCGGAGGCCGACUCCUGGUAACCAAUGACUUACUUCCAUGGUUCACGGGGCAAACCCGACAACACGGGCACCUGCGGCUGUCAGGGCACUGAGUCUGCGCGUCACUGGACGAGGACGGGGGGCUGGGCACUUCCCCUCACUUUCAGGGAGGCCAUAUAAAGACUGAAAGUAAGUCCUCUCUCAAAGCCCCGUCACAGCUCCUUACAAACUCACUCUGUCGAAAAAGACAUCCGGCACCACACGGGCGUUCCUAGUGUAGAGGCUGACUCGCCUGAGUCUGAUACUCUCUUUGGGCUGUUAUUUUCUCCAUUUUUAAAAUUGUUAAAGAAUAUUUAAUUUAUUUGAGAAAGAGAGAGAGAAAAUCUUCUCCACUCUGCCCCCUCCCCCAUCCACUGGCUCACUGCCCAAAUGCCAACAGCAGCCAGGACUGAGCCAGGCCAAAGCUGGGAGGUGAGAACUCCAUCCGGGUCUCCCCCGUGGGUGGUGGAGACCCAAGUACUUGAGCCGUCGCCUCCCGCCUCCCAGGGUGAGCGCGCUGAGCAAGAAGCCGCGAUGGACGGCGGAGGCAGGACCUGAACCCCGGCUCUCAGGCUCUCGGAUGUGGGCCGCGCUGCAUCAAACGCUCACCCCUAAAAUCUUUCUACGUCAGCGUUCCCUCACUCUGCUGCAAGCUUUUAUGACCCUCUCUAACCCUAGCUACUCUUGCAAGGUUUUCCAUGUAGCAGCAACUCUGCAUCUUAGACAACUGCCACUUAGACUUCUUAAACAGAGUAAGACCUUUCUGAGUGGAGAUUCUGGCCCUCCCCCAUUUCGAGGUAAGUUGAAAUUAGGUGGUGACAUCAAGAUACCUGGCGCUAAGCACACAGAGACCGGCAGCGCAGGAGUUACCCAUGGGACGUGACGGAGCUGCAGUGCACGGAGAAGACAGAGGCUGCCAGUGCCCCGCACAGGCCCCGCACAGGCCGUCUCCUGCCCCGGGACCCACCUGAGCUUCUGCUGGACGAUCACGGCCGUCCGGCGGGCCUGCCGUCUCUUGCCGCACUUGCGGUAGCUCCGGUAGUACUUCUGGAUGAG